GGCAGCGGGAGGCCGGCCCCCGUGGCGCGAGCCAUGAGGAAAGUCCCCCCACCCGUCGGACAGGUGACCGGGCACAAGCCCGGGGCGGGAGACCGUCGGCUAUGGAACAGCAACGACACGUCGUCCGGGGACCGAUGAGGUGUGCGAAUCCCGAGCGGCAAGCCAGGGAGAGUUAACCCACCGAGGGCUAACGUGGUGUGCUGACGCCCACCGCGAUAUAACGUGGUCCGCCUUCGGCGGUCCACGCUCCCCGGACGGACCGAUGGAACGGCGAAUCCUCACCGGUGCAAGACCGCGUCGACAGGUAGUCCGACACCGCGUGUAAGCGCUGGACGCGGUCGCUCAGCCGAAUGCCGGCCCGAACAGAAGGGGGCUUACUCCCCGCAGCC
rnacentral:RNase_P_RNA from 1 species